rnacentral:tRNA from 12 species
CGGGAUGUAGCGCAGCCCGGUAGCGCGCUUCGUUCGGGACGAAGAGGCCGCUGGUUCGAAUCCAGUCAUCCCGACAA